rnacentral:rRNA from 1 species
GAUGAACGCUGGCGGCGUGCCUAAUACAUGCAAGUCGAGCGAACGGACGAGAAGCUUGCUUCUCUGCUGUUAGCGGCGGACGGGUGAGUAACACGUGGAUAACCUACCUAUAAGACUGGGAUAACUUGGGGAAACCGGAGCUAUUACCGGAUAAUAUUUUGACCGGCAUGGUUCAAAAGUGAAAGACGGUCUUGCUUUCACUUAUAGAUGGAUCCGCGCUGCAUUAGCUAGUUGGUAAGGUAACGGCUUACCAAGGCAACGAUGCAUAGCCGACCUGAGAGGGUGAUCGGCCACACUGGAACUGAGACACGGUCCAGACUCCUACGGGAGGCAGCAGUAGGGAAUCUUCCGCAAUGGGCGAAAGCCUGACGGAGCAACGCCGCGUGAGUGAUGAAGGUCUUCGGAUCGUAAAACUCUGUUAUUAGGGAAGAACAUAUGUGUAAGUAACUGUGCACAUCUUGACGGUACCUAAUCAGAAAGCCACGGCUAACUACGUG